rnacentral:misc_RNA from 1 species
GCUUUAUAUUGCUGGGAUAUUGUUUUACAUGGGGACAGUACCGUUUGAUGUUGUUCCUAUUAUCAGGCACCGUCCUGCUCCUGGGUCUGUUUACCGGAGCCCUCAACUCUAUGAUAAGCUUCGACCUGAAAUGGACUCUGAUAAUUCCACUGCUGAUGCGAUCUCAACAAUUUGGAAAAACUCUUAUAGAGGUGGUGAAUGGAGACCAUGCA